CCUACGGGGGACAGCAGUAGGGAAUAUUGCUCAAUGGGGGAAACCCUGAAGCAGCUAAUCCGCGUGUAGGAUGAAGGCUUUCGGAUUGUAAACUCCUUUUGUUAGAGAAGAUAAUGAGGGUAUGUAACGAAUAAGCACCGGCUAACUCCGUGCCAGUAGCCGCGGUAAUACUGAGGGUGCACGCGUUAAUCGGAAGAACUGGGCGUAAAGGGCGUGUAGGCGGGUUAGCAAGUCAGAUGUGAAAGCCUAAGGGUUAAACUUAGAACUGGAUUUGUGACUGUUAGUCUAGAGUGUGGGAGAGGUAGGGGGAAUUCUUGGUGUAGGAGUAAAAUGCGUAGAGAUCAAGAAGAAUACUCAUUGCGAAGGCGACCUGCUAGAACGUAACUGACGCUGAUGCGCGAAAGCGUGGGGAGCAAACAGGAUUAGAUACCCUUGUAGUC
rnacentral:rRNA from 1 species